CGCGAAAGUCCCUUCGGGGGCGAGUAGAGCGGCGUAAGGGUGAGUAAUGCGUUCCUAUGUACCCCUAGGUCGGGGAUAGCCCGGGGAAACCCGGAGUAAUACCCGAUGUGGUCUCCGGAUCAAAGACUUCGGUCGCCAAGGGAGCGGGGAACGUCCUAUCAGGUUGUUGGUGAGGUAACUGCUCACCAAGCCAUAGACGGGUAGCGGGUGUGAGAGCAUGGCCCGCCACAUCGGGACUGAGACACUGCCCGGACUCCUACGGGAGGCUGCAGUAACGAAUAUUCCGCAAUGCGCGAAAGCGUGACGGAGCAAUGCCGCGUGCAGGAUGAAGCCCUUCGGGGUGUAAACUGCUGUCAGGGUAUAGGAACACAAUGACCAUACCCAAAGGAAGGGCCGGCUAACUUCGUGCCAGCAGCCGCGGUAAUACGAAGGGCUCGAGCGUUAAUCGGAAUCAUUGGGCUUAAAGCGUACGUAGGCGGACGCGCAGGCAUCUUGUGAAAUCCCUCGGCUCAACCGAGGAACUGCUUGGUGAACCGCGUGUCUUGAGGCAAGUAGGGGCUGUCGGAACGCUAGGUGGAGUGGUGAAAUGCGUUGAUAUCUAGCGGAACGCCGAAGGAGAAAUCAGGCAGCUGGGCUUGUUCUGACGCUGAGGUACGAAAGCGUGGGGAGCGAACGGGAUUAGAUACCCCGGUAGUCCACGCCGUAAACGAUGUGCACUAGAUCGAGGAGGUUCU
rnacentral:rRNA from 1 species